CCCUUAGAUGUUCUGGGCUGCACGCGCGCUACACUGAUGCGCUCAACGAGUUUAUGACCUUGCCCGGAAGGGUUGGGUAAUCUUCUUAAAACGCAUCGUGAUGGGGAUAGAUUAUUGCAAUUAUUAAUCUUCAACGAGGAAUACCUUGUAAGCGCGGGUCAUCAUCCCGCGCUGAAUACGUCCCUGCCCUUUGUACACACCGCCCGUCGCUCCUACCGAUUGAGUGGUCCGGUGAGGCUUUGGGAUCUGAGCGGAAAGAGCGUUUCGCUGUUUCUGCUCGGAAAACUCAGUCGAACCUUAUCAUUUAGAGGAAGGAGAAGUCGUAACA
rnacentral:rRNA from 1 species